rnacentral:lncRNA from 1 species
ACAAGUCUAUCUAGAUCAAUCAUCUUCGUGAUGAUCCAUCAAUCGAAAGAUUUUAGAAAUUAAUCACUAAUGACAUAUGUCUCAAAUUCUCAACUCUUGAGAAUAUGUGUCAUCAUCUUAUUAAUUUUUUGAAUAAUUUAUGAAUACAUAAAUAACAUAAAUUCAAAUAAAAAAUCCAAUGAUUAAAAAUUAAAUAUAAAAUUAUAUCCUAGAAUAAAUAUAUGCCCCAGUC